rnacentral:rRNA from 1 species
UGGGGAAUUUUGCACAAUGGGGGAAACCCUGAUGCAGCGACGCCGCGUGAUUUAGAAGGCCUUCGGGUUGUAAAAAUCUUUUGUAUGGGAAGAAAAUGACAGUACCAUACGAAUAAGGACCGGCUAAUUACGUGCCAGCAGCCGCGGUAAUACGUAAGGUCCGAGCGUUGUCCGGAAUCAUUGGGCGUAAAGGGUACGUAGGCGGAUAAGCAAGAUAGAAGUGAAAUCCUAUAGCUCAACUAUAGUAAGCUUUUAAAACUGCUCAUCUUGAGGUAUGGAAGGGAAAGUGGAAUUCCUAGUGUAGCGGUGAAAUGCGCAGAUAUUAGGAGGAAUACCGGUGGCGAAGGCGACUUUCUGGCCAUAUACUGACGCUGAGGUACGAAAGCGUGGGUAGCAAACAGG